rnacentral:misc_RNA from 1 species
AACUGAUACUACCUGCGGGAACCUGCGGAGGGAUCAUUCUAGAGGCUUUUUAAAAGACUCCAAACCCUUUGUGAACAAGCUAUGUGUUGCUUCGGUAGGUUUAGCCCUGGGGGGUUAAUGAUCUUAUUAUAGAGGAUUUUAAGAGCCUGCCGAAGGACCGUUUUUAAAACUCUUAUUUUAAAAAAGAAUUCUGAGAAUUUUUAUAUAAAAAAAAAAACUUUUAACAACGGAUCUCUAGAU